UGCGCUUUCCUCUCCCUCAUUUUCACGAUUCUGGGAAAAAACAAAUGGAAGAACACAGAACAAAUCUUCUCCCCCUAUAUCUCAAUUUCGUUCGCGAUGAACAACCAUGGCGGAUUUUUUCCUUUGCUCAAACAACAACGAACCGGCCCUCGUUUCACUCUUGGCCUCUCUCACGAUCUUUCGCUCUCUCUCUCUCUCUCUCUCUCUCUCGGUUCUCUCGGUGGCUCACAGUCUCUCUCGCGGUGCUCACUCUCACGAUGAUUUCUCUCACUCGGUUUCUCACCGAGCAACAGCAACACUCAGCCAUGGAGGAUUUUCUGGAAAGCUUUGGACAAAUAUGAUGAAUAACAAGGAUGAACUCAACUCUACAUCAAAUCCUAAUUUGAUUUUACCAGAAUUAUGAACAGUGGCGGAAAUCUGGGGGAAAACUUACAGCAACAAAUAAUUAACAGUGAUAUAAGAGUGGUAGUAGAAAGGACUUACCUGCGGCAAGGAGGUGUUUGCCGGAUUAUUCAUCGAGGUUGAAGUUGAUGUGGGGCUGCAACUGAAAGUUGGAGGCUUUUGAUGAAGGUGAUGCCACAACACCUCUUUGGACUUAUGGGAGCGCCUUGAAGAUGGAACUUCAAGUUGUUGGAAGCUUGAAGAUGAAGAUCUUCAAGAAAGGUAUGAAGAACUACCUUUUCCUUCUUCCUUACUUUGUAACUAGAAUGCUCACCUCCAAUAGAGAAUCUCUUGGCUUGAGAAUUUCUUCUUGCCAAGAGGUCUAUUGAACAAUAUAUGAGCAAUAGAGAGAGAAGAGAGAAAGCAAGAACUUAAGUUGCUUUGGUGUAACAAAUACUAUGGAGAGCCCUUCUAUUUAUAGGCAAAGAAAAGGAUAUGUUAGGCAUUAUGUAACUUGGUAGUCAAGUUUGUGAUUCUUGUAAGAAAGGAAUAUCCAUUGUGACAUAAGCAAAAAGAUUCCACAUGACAUAAGCCAAAAGAUUCCUUUAUGACAUAAGCCAUGUGAGAAAAUUUUCAUGUCAUUUUAUGAUAUCUCUAAGUUGUAGAAAUUUAUGACAUAAAAAUCUCUCUUUGACUUUCUUUGACUUUCUUUGACUUUUGACUUGAUUUGAACUUUUGCUAAAUUCACCCCUUUUAUGUCUCUUUUUUCUUUCAUGUCAUAUGAGGACUUUUGAAGAAAACAUGAAGAAGGAGACUUGGACAUCAAGAAUGGAUACUUGAAGAUUUCAAGAAUGGAUUCAAGAAUGUUUUUUUUGUACUUUCUUUUAUUCUUGUAAUUCCAAAAGAAUUUGUAUGAACUUGUAUUCUUGGAACUUUGAAUGUAAUCUUGAAUUUUGAAUGAAGUCCACUUUGGAAUUUAGAACUUUGUAAAGAAUGAUCUUCAUUUGUGGA